CGGCUCUCUUGUGAUCCCUUUUCGCCUCGACCGCUCACACGCGUGUCAACGUCGCCAUUAAGCGCGCGCCUUGUCUUCCCUUCAGCGGUCACGUAGACGUCUCGAUUUGUGCGUGCGGCUCGUGCGUCUUUGUCCAGCGCUGAGGCUCUUGCGCUGAAGUACGGUGCCGACGUUGCUUCUUCUGCGUACAGCUCGUGCACGCUCUCAGACGAAGCCCUUCCACCUUUGUUUCGCCGCCGUUUCACAGCUGCUUCCUCGACACCCCAUCCCAUCCCCUUAUCCGAUUGUCAUCAUGCCCCAGGACGAGCAAGCGAAGGCGGCCGAGGAGUACGACUACGAUCGGGAGCUCUACCGCUGCCCCAUCUCGUGGCCCAUCACCUCCGACAAGCCCAAGAUGACUAAGAAGGUGUACUCCCUCAUCAAGAAGACAGUCACUGCGAACAAGAAGAGGGGCAUCGUGAAGGGCAUCAAGGAUGUUACCAAGGCGAUUCGCAAGGGCCAGAAAGGUAUCCUCGUUCUCGGCGCGGAUGCGUCUCCGUACGACGUGGUGUCGCACUUUCCUGUCAUGGCGGAGGAGGCUAAGAUUCCGUAUGUGUGGGUGCCUUCGCGGCAGGACCUAGGCACGGCCACCCAAUGCAAGCGUGCAACCUCCGUCGUGCUGCUGAAGGUGAACGAAGAACUGAAGUCGAGCUAUGACAAAAUCGUGCUCGCCAUCGAGGACCUGAACUCGGAGGAGUAGGUGAUGACGCUGCCGCAACGACGUCGAGCCUGCGCAGCAGUGUGAGAUUGUGAGAUGCGGGUAAGGGGAAAGGGUGUGGAAGUAACAGAUGACGUCUGUGACGUUCCCUUUCUCUUUCCUGGUGAGAAGUUACGCUGGAAAGAGGAGAGCAGCGCCAAGUAACAAAACCAACAUCAACAAACAUCAGCGCCUUCACAUUUGGAGGAGACGAGAUGCAAAUGCCGCACAGACCGUGUGUGCACAUUCUUCAUCACGCCGAUCAUCUCCGCUUCCGUUUUCUUCGUUUUUCUUUACUUGUUGCCAUCGCCUCUCGCGAGCAAGAGCGGUGAGGGACCCGGUAGGGGGUGCGAAGCAGGCAUGCUGCGCUGAUGAGUGGAUUGCCUCCCUCCUCUCUCCAUGUCAUCUUUUUCGCAACCACCUCCUUUGCGAUAAUGCUGGUUUCUACUUUCGUUAUUGUCGUGUGAAGCUGAAAAGCGUGCUGCUGCGUCCCUUGGGAUGUCGUCUUGUACAUCUGUGCGCGGGGGUGGUUGUCUGUAAGGGCGGUUUUUCAGUGAGCCGAGGUGUCCAGCUUGCACUGCCGCGUAUGCCUAUUGGUUUGGUGUUAACAUGGACGAUUUAACUGGACAAGUCAUUAUCAUCUUUUUUUUUUGGUUCGAAUGCACCGAGGCGGGCGUGACCCCUUGCCGAGGCGCAAAUUUGCGUGGCCAGACAUGGAAGCGCGUCGAAGGGGCAGCGCCCACGACUCUCUCUCUCUCUCCUGUUGCACCUUUGCGUGCAGCAGUCGAGCUAUAUAUCGCAUGUGCAGCUGACGUGACCGUUGCGCGGCCAGCGCCUUCCCGUAUGACACGUGUUGCGCAG
rnacentral:misc_RNA from 1 species